ACACGUCUGAUGUAUUUAUGUAUAAAGCUUUCUUAGCUUUUGUGUAAUUAGAAUUUAAAAAGUAAGGGAGGGGGUCGUUAUUGUAUUUCCAUAACGAUUUUCAUGUAAGGGAAAAACUAUAUAGAUUCCAAAAGAUAUUGGCAAAAAUAGUUUAAUGAAAAAGUUAACUUCGUACGUGAUAAUGUCAACAAAAAUUUACAUCACUUUUUUUUUUUUGGUGUGAAGGAAAUUUAAAAUUUAAUAAUGGCAAAAUUAAGUUUUCUUUUUUUAAGGUCAUAUCAAAGAGUUUGGUAAUGUGAGACAAACAGGAUGAUGUUGUGGCCCUUAAAAGGGCCGUUUAUGUUUUUUUUUUCAAGUAGUUCGGAAGAUCGUGGGUAUGAUUAGAUGUUAGGUUAAAAUCCCAGCCACAUUGCUUACCCACCGAAACCAUACAGGGUCCUGCCUUGUCUCUUCAACGCAUAGACGACAUCCAUAGCGGUGACAGUCUUCCUCUUGGCGUGCUCAGUGUAGGUGACGGCAUCACGAAUCACAUUCUCUAGAAAGACCUUGAGAACUCCACGGGUUUCUUCGUAAAUCAGACCCGAAAUACGUUUCACACCACCUCUUCGUGCCAGACGACGGAUAGCAGGUUUAGUAAUACCUUGGAUAUUAUCUCUCAGUACUUUCCUGUGUCGCUUGGCGCCUCCCUUUCCGAGUCCUUUUCCACCUUUACCGCGUCCAGACAUGUUUCCCAAUCAGUAAAAGCUUCGAUUCAGAGAUAGAACAAAAUA